rnacentral:sRNA from 1 species
UAUUUAUUUAUUUAUUUUUUUUGUUUAACAUGUGCAGCAGGCAACGCAGCCAAGCCCAGCCAAGCCAAGCCACAUAGUCAUGAUGCCAGUUGCAUCAACAGCAGCAGCCAUCUUCGCUUAUUGAUGGAACUGUGCUAAAUAGCGAAAUAGUAACAAAUAAACACAAGCCGACCAUAAAAAUGAUUUAAUGAAGAAUUUUGAAUGAUGGCCUUAUCAUUUAAAAUGGUAUUUAAAGCCGUGUCUGAAUUUGACAAGUCUGCCAAACUAAUACAACAUUGCGGAAAGGGUCCACUGUGCGCAGAGGUUAGCAUGUCUAACUAUGAAGCUGAAUGGCUGGGUUCAAAUACCGGCGUGAACAUCAAAACAAUUUUCAGUGGUGGUUAUACAUCUGUGAGAUAUCCUGCCAUGUACAACUUCUCUAGCUAGUGGUGUCACUAUGCGGAACACCGAUCAGAAUCGCCAUAAAGAAAGAGGCCACUUACAAUAAACUAAAAAUUUGAAUAGGACUUCACCAAAUGAUUAGAAAGGAGUAUCCCCUGUUCUUUAAUGGAAUGUUCAUGGGAAAUACAGUCGAAUGUCUUCUGCUGGCACUUGAUUAUCAAAUAGAGAAGAACCUCUUCGAGUCAUUUAGUACCAAAUGAAGGUUCCCACAAGGAGACAUCCUAUUCGUGUGAUAUUUUGUAAAUGCUGUAAGAAAAGAUUAUAUGUGAUGUUGGUGUAACUAUUCUCACACACACAACACAUGCAGCUCAGUAUUUCGGUUAUAUGAACAUCAUUGGUCAGUUGGAAAGGAGCGGAUACGGCAGCACUCGAAAAAAAUUGAGAAGAAACCCCUUACAGAAGGUCUGGCAGCAAAUGGAGAUGAAACCAAUGCAUCGAAGAUACCAUUGCAUUUAGAGCCAAACACCCACAAUUAUUUGUGUCUGCCAUAGAAAAACAAAACCCAAAUAGACCUAAUUUGAUAAUUGUAAAAUUUUUAAAUUUAUUUUCACGAAAUGCCAAAUGAAAAGCCAAACAAUUUAGCAUUUAAUAAAUGGGAAGAGAGAAAAAAAUGUGUGUAUG